CAGGCGUCCAGGCGGAGUCUAGGCAGCGGUGGCGAAGCCCACCCUGUUGUUGCCCAUGUCGUAGACGGAAUAGUAGGACCUGAGGAAGACGUCCCCAAGGAUCCACAGGGGCUGGCCGUUCUGGGAGGGCAGCCUCUUUCCAGAGAAGGGAGUUUGGAAUCAAUGAGUGGAGAAAAUAAAUCAAUACUUGAAGAAGUUGGGAAAUGUCACAAGGAGAAACCAUAGAUGCCUCCUGGCUGGCCCCUCCUAGGCAAGGGGCACCUCCACCAGACCCACCUGUCCGUACUGGUCCUCCUGGGCCCCCGUGGCCUGCAGAAGGGCACUCAUGUACUGCUGGGGCACGGUGAGCAGAGAUGUGCCUGUGUCCACGAUGGCCUGGCAGCCCUGGGAGCACCAGCCUGAGGCCUGGCCGCCAAUGAGGAACCUGAAUGGAGAGAUGAACUGUUCAGCACCUCCAGCUCAGGGGAUCUCCUCUGAGAGACUAAAAGCUACGGCCACAGAAGCAAGGUACACCUCAGAAAGGACCCUGUAUUCUCCAGAAAUGCUCUGCUAAACCCAUUCGCAUUGAGCUAUGAAGACUGAGAGCUUCUCCAACCACCGUUACAGAGUUUGUACGUUAACAGAAGUUUCUAAGAGGAGCCAUCUCUCCACCAACGGAAUCACUCACAUGGUGGAAUAGCAGCAGCCCCUGCCCCUGAUGUCCUGGGAGCCGUGCCACUCACUCCCUUUCUCCUGACACCUCAGCCUACAGAAAUUACAUUACGGAUGUUUCUGCUUAGGAGCUGGAGGCAGAGCAAGACCACCACCAUCCACUUCAUGAUGCUGAUUCC